rnacentral:misc_RNA from 1 species
GAUGAAGAACGUAGCGAAAUGCGAUACGCAAUGUGAAUUGCAGAAUUCAGUGAAUCAUCGAAUCUUUGAACGCAUAUUGCGCUCUCUGGUAUUCCGGAGAGCAUGCUUGUUUGAGUAUCAGUAAACACCUCAACUUCCAUAUCUUUUUUGAAAUGGGAGUUGGACUUGAGUGAUCCCAACGCUUUUCCUCACCGAAAAGUGGCGGGUUACUUGAAAUGCAGGUGCAGCUGGACUUUUCUCUGAGCUAUAAGCAUAUCUAUUUAGUCUGCCUAAAAAACAGAUUAUUACCUUUGCUGCAGCUAACAUAAAGGAGAUUAGUUCUUGUGCUGACUGAUGCAGGAUUCACAAAGACAGGCUUCGGCCGACUUUGUAAACUCGAUCUCAAAUCAAGUAAGACUACCCGCUGAACUUAAGCAUAUCAAUAAGCGGAGGA